rnacentral:siRNA from 1 species
GGACAUGGGCAUUAAUGGGCAUGG